rnacentral:rRNA from 1 species
GAUGAACGCUGGCGGCGUGCCUAAUACAUGCAAGUCGAGCGAAUGGAUUAAGAGCUUGCUCUUAUGAAGUUAGCGGCGGACGGGUGAGUAACACGUGGGUAACCUGCCCAUAAGACUGGGAUAACUCCGGGAAACCGGGGCUAAUACCGGAUAACAUUUUGAACCGCAUGGUUCGAAAUUGAAAGGCGGCUUCGGCUGUCACUUAUGGAUGGACCCGCGCCGCAUUAGCUAGUUGGUGAGGUAACGGCUCACCAAGGCAACGAUGCGUAGCCGACCUGGGAGGGUGAUCGGCAACACUGGGACUGAGACACGGCCCAGACUCCUACGGGAGGCAGCAGUAGGGAAUAUUCCGCAAUGGACGAAAGUCUGACGGAGCAACGCCGCGUGGGUGAUGGAGGCUUUCGGGUCGUAAAACUCUGUUGUUAGGGAAGAACAAGUGCUAGUUGAAUAAGCUGGCACCUUGACGGUACCUAACCAGAAAGCCACGGCUAACUACGUGCCAGCAGCCGCAGUAA